GGUGCACUUAAAGUUUGAUAUUGGAAACUAUGUAUACCUGGAAGGUAUUCACAAAAGUUAAUAAUAAUUCUGAAUAAUAUAAAGUUCGUACAGGAUUAAUAAAGAAUGAUUUAAAAAUUAUUAAACGAAGAAUACGCGUUUCAUCUUCGUUGUUAUAAAUUGUAAAUUUUGCUGGAUUUGUAACGUUAUUUACCAUGUUUACAUAAAUUCGACACGAUUGUACAUAUACGUGUAAUUUUGUUAAUAGAAUAUUCAUUGUUUGGUUAAACGAAUGGUACGAACUGUGUGCCGCCACAUGCAUAUCAUUAAACGAAAAUUAAACUGGCGGUGUAAAACUAUAAACCUCUUUCCUUUAUAUCGUUAUAUCUUUAAUUUCACUUGGAAUAUGAUAAAAAACGAGUGUUUGAUGAAAAAUUGAAAUACGUAUACGGUACAAUGUUAACGUUUAUCGAAUGUUGGAAAGGUUGGUUAAUAAGAGUUUUAUGGUGAAAAAAACUUUUAACAGAGAUAGACGUUGAUCGGGUUAUGGAAUUUUUUCAAACAUUUGCUGUUGUAAAGUGUAGAGAAUAAUGACGCUUUUUCUCUGCAAAAAAAUUGAACAUUGAAAUAGGAGAGAGUGCGAAAGAGAGAGAAGGAGGAAAAAAUAAAUUCGUGAAAAAAAAAAAUUUAAAAAAAAUAAAAUUGAAAAAAAUUUUUUCUCUUUAAAAAUUGGGGCGUGAAAUUCACCUUUCGUUUCUCGUUUAGAAAGUAAAUUGUAUUAAAAAACGAAAGUUUUUCUUUAUUAUUUA